rnacentral:lncRNA from 10 species
AGACACUGUGUGUUUCAAGUGACUCAGCCUGUACGCCUAGUUUCCAAUGAGUGGAGCAAUUGCCUGCAGCAGUGUGCCAGGGAUUAUUUGUUAAUGCUACCAGGCAGGGCAGGGGCCACUUGCAAAUGCCAGCAGCUCAUGGCUGGUUGUCCCCAUACCUGGGACCAGCAGCUACCAAGACUGCCUUUGUCUCAGGGAAUUUCCCUUCCCUCACGUUCAUGGCAUCAUCUCUUGCUAUCAUUCUCUGUCUGUGUGAGGAAAGCAACAUCUGGGAAGUCAACAGGCUUCAAGAACUGGUUCUGUGUGUUGACUGGAAUCACCUGGGAAGUUUUAGUCCUGUGAUACCACCUGGAACCACAGACAGAGUGAGGACACAGCAAGAAGAUGAUCAUCUGCAAGCCAAGAAGAGGGGUCUCACCAGAAUCCUAUAAUGCUGGCACCCUGAUAUUUUACUUUCCACCUUCCAUAAAUGUGAGAAAU